UACGAAGGGGGCUAGCGUUGUUCGGAUUUACUGGGCGUAAAGCGCACGUAGGCGGAUUGUUAAGUCAGGGGUGAAAUCCUGGAGCUCAACUCCAGAACUGCCUUUGAUACUGGCAAUCUAGAGUCCGGAAAGAGGUGAGUGGAACUCCUAGUGUAGAGGUGGAAUUCGUAGACUAUUAGGAAGAACACCAGUGGCGAAGGCGGCUCACUGGUCCGGUACUGACGCUGAGGUGCGAAAGCGUGGGGAGCAAACAGGGAGUU
rnacentral:rRNA from 1 species